rnacentral:rRNA from 1 species
AUUGAACGCUGGCGGCAUGCUUUACACAUGCAAGUCGGACGGCCGCACAGAGACGCUUCCUUUUUGGGGGUCGAGGGGCAAAGGUGGGAGACAUAUAGCGAACCUACCCAUGAAACUGGGAUUACUUAAUGAAACGAGUGCUAAUACCGGCAAAUUUUUUGAGACGGAAGGCUGGAGACUUUCGGACCUUUCUGUAUUCACGUGUCCCUUAUCUGAUUAGCUAGUUGGUGGGGUAACGGCCUACCAAGGCGACGAUCAGUAGCGGGUCUGAGAGGAUGAUCCGCCACACUGGGACUGAGACACGGCCCAGACUCCUACGGGAGGCAGCAGUGGGGAAUUUUGGACAAUGGGCGCAAGCCUGAUCCAGCCAUGCCGCGUGUCUGAAGAAGGCCUUCGGGUUGUAAAGGACUUUUGUCAGGGAAGAAAAGGCUGUUGCUAAUAUCGACAGCUGAUGACGGUACCUGAAGAAUAAGCACCGGCUAACUACGUG